rnacentral:lncRNA from 1 species
GACUUGAAUAGCUCUCUGUGUCCUGCUCUGAACUCAGGUGUUGGGUGCUGUAAGGGGACCUCAGCUAAGCUCUGAAGUUGAGACACAGGGUCACUGCCCACAAUUCAGAGGAGCAGGGAAGAGUAGAAUUUGCUGGAUCCUUCCUAGAAGAGUCUACAAAGAUGUGAUGCAGGGAACCUACUUGGACCUCACUGUUAUAGGCCACACUUGGGAAGACUAUCAUAUUGAAGGACAUUGUCAAAGUUCGAGAAGACAUGAAAGGUAAUCUCCAUGUGCAAGCUGAUACACAUAGGCCUCUGAGGAAAUUUUAAUAUGUUCUGGAAGCUCUAAAGAAAAGCAAGAGUGCCGGGCAGUGGUGGCGGACACCUUUAAUCCCAGCACUUGGGAGGAAGAAGCAACACAGGUAACCUAGCAACGUUUUACAUGACAAAGCCUUGCCUGCCUUCCUGCUCUAAGAUCAGUUUGUGGAUCCACCCCCCACCCCCACCCCCAGAGCCUUUGUCUGAUUUAAACACACAAAUGUCACCUCUGUGUCUUGUCUUUUGGAAAGUCAGCCUUGAUUCCCUUGGGCAGAAUUCAUUUUCACUGUGGAUUAUGCCUCUGCCUGACCUGAGAGAACUUUCAGAGGUGAGACACUGUGUUUGUCUCAUGAGUUUAGAAUACCCAGGGCUUGAAAUCAGACAAGGAAUGAAAGACCCCCAAAGGGAGACCUUCACUCAAGUCUCGGGAAAAGCGCUCACCCAGUGAGACACUUAGAUCAGACUUGCUGUAACCA